AGUGAACGCCGGCGGUAGGCCUAACACAUGCAAGUCGAACGGUAGCACAGUAAGAGCUUGCUCUUACGGGUGGCGAGUGGCGGACGGGUGAGGAAUACAUCGGAAUCUACUUUUUCGUGGGGGAUAACGUAGGGAAACUUACGCUAAUACCGCAUACGACCUACGGGUGAAAGCAGGGGAUCUUCGGACCUUGCGCGAUUGAAUGAGCCGAUGUCGGAUUAGCUAGUUGGCGGGGUAAAGGCCCACCAAGGCGACGAUCCGUAGCUGGUCUGAGAGGAUGAUCAGCCACACUGGAACUGAGACACGGUCCAGACUCCUACGGGAGGCAGCAGUGGGGAAUAUUGGACAAUGGGCGCAAGCCUGAUCCAGCCAUACCGCGUGGGUGAAGAAGGCCUUCGGGUUGUAAAGCCCUUUUGUUGGGAAAGAAAAGCAGCAGGUUAAUACCCCGCUGUUCUGACGGUACCCAAAGAAUAAGCACCGGCUAACUUCGUG
rnacentral:rRNA from 1 species